rnacentral:rRNA from 1 species
UACGGAGGGAGCUAGCGUUGUUCGGAAUUACUGGGCGUAAAGCGCACGUAGGCGGCUUUGUAAGUUAGAGGUGAAAGCCCGGGGCUCAACCCCCGGAAUUGCCUUUAAGACUGCAUCGCUUGAAUCCGGGAGAGGUGAGUGGAAUUCCGAGUGUAGAGGUGAAAUUCGUAGAUAUUCGGAAGAACACCAGUGGCGAAGGCGGCUCACUGGGACCGGCAUUGACGCUGAGGUGCGAAAGCGUGGGGAGCAAACAGG